rnacentral:rRNA from 3 species
GGACUACUGGGGUAUCUAAUCCCGUUUGCUCCCCUAGCUUUCGCGCCUCAGCGUCAGAAAAGGUCCAGCACGCCGCUUUCGCCACCGGAGUUCCUAACGAUAUCAACGCAUUUCACCGCUCCACCGUUAGUUCCGCAUGCCCCUACCUUCCUCGAGGCCGACAGUAUCUAAGGCAGUUCCACGGUUGAGCCGCGGGAUUUCACCCCAGACUUGUCAGCCCGCCUACGCGCCCUUUAAGCCCAGUGAUUCCGAACAACGUUCGCACGGUUCGUCUUACCGCGGCUGCUGGCAC